AUGUCGGUAUGCAGAGAAAACGCGAACAUCAGAGACAACCACCGGCGAUUACUGGCGGAGAAAUUCGAGCUGCGGCGGAACCUGUACAAGGCGCUGUGCAAAGACACGAGCCUCCCCGACGAUUUACGCGAGGAGAAUCGCUACAAGCUCUCGAAGCUUCCUCGGAACAGCUCCUUCACCCGAAUCCGGAACCGGUGCAUCUUCUCCGGCCGAGGCCGCGCCGUCUACGAGACCUUCCGCAUGUCCCGUCUCUUCUCCCGCCUCCAAGGGCAUGCUCAACGGCGUCAAGAAAGCCUCCUGGUAGCCAAACGGGCUUUAAAUCAGCUAUGGAAAUCUGUGCUUUGAUUUGUUCCAAUGGAAGUUGAAGCAUGAGUAAGGGAACACUGGGAUAUAAUUGCAGUUUUGCAGCAGUUAGUAUUUGGAGGUCUCUCCUUUCUGAUAUGCGAAAGUUCUGCUUGUA